rnacentral:lncRNA from 1 species
UAGACAGGAAGAGGGCUGAGGUCCAUUUGUAUGCACACAAAGAAAAGAGUUUCUUCCUUUCGAGGAAAUAAAAUUGUCCUGAAAGACGUCAUUACUCUACGGAGACAUGUGGAAACAAAAGUUAGAGCUAAAAUCCGUAAGAGGAAGGUGGAUCUUUAAAGUUGAUGACAAGAGUUCCAGUCCUGAAUCAUGGCAAAGUGCAGUAGUGAACUGCGGGGUUAUUCUGGA